UUCUGGAUACAGUCAAGUACUUGUGAAGUUUGAGUACAAAUCAAGAUAGGAUUGACCGCUCCAAGUAAAAUUGGAGAUGAUACAUCAUUGUGUUUUAAUUCAGCAAAACUUUAACCAAAGUAGUUCUAGUGAAGAGUCGCAGAAUUUUUGAGAUUGAGACACAAUAUGGACUACUCUUUUUGGGUUGAUAGUUUACCCUUAGUCAUCCUUAAGCAUCAAGUGUCGAAGGGAUGAAUUAUACAGUAACUAUAUCCAUA
rnacentral:lncRNA from 1 species